CCUACGGGAGGCAGCAGUGAGGAAUAUUGGACAAUGGGCGCAAGCCUGAUCCAGCCAUGCCGCGUGCAGGAAGACGGUCCUAUGGAUUGUAAACUGCUUUUAUACAGGAAGAAACACCUCUACGUGUAGAGACUUGACGGUACUGUAUGAAUAAGCAUCGGCUAACUCCGUGCCAGCAGCCGCGGUAAUACGGAGGAUGCAAGCGUUAUCCGGAAUCAUUGGGUUUAAAGGGUCCGUAGGCGGUUUAAUAAGUCAGUGGUGAAAGCCCAUCGCUCAACGAUGGAACGGCCAUUGAUACUGUUAAACUUGAAUUAUUAGGAAGUAACUAGAAUAUGUAGUGUAGCGGUGAAAUGCUUAGAGAUUACAUGGAAUACCAAUUGCGAAGGCAGGUUACUACUAAUAUAUUGACGCUGAUGGACGAAAGCGUGGGGAGCGAACAGGAUUAGAUACCCUGGUAGUACACGCCGUAAACGAUGGAUACUAGCUGUUCGGAGCAAUCUGAGUGGNGUAGAGAAGUAGAGUAAGUAUACCACCGUCGGGAGGUACGGUUACGUCGAAGAAGUAGUAAACGUUAAACGUUAAGUAAGUUAGUACGGACGUAGAGACGUUAGCCGACGGACGACGACGAGGGAGGUUAGGGAG
rnacentral:rRNA from 1 species